rnacentral:rRNA from 1 species
AGUGAACGCUGGCGGUAGGCCUAACACAUGCAAGUCGAACGGCAGCACAGUAAGAGCUCGCUCUUACGGGUGGCGAGUGGCGGACGGGUGAGGAAUACAUCGGAAUCUACUUUUUCGUGGGGGCUAACGUAGGGAAACUUACGCUAAUACCGCAUACGACCUACGGGUGAAAGCAGGGGAUCUUCGGAACUUGCGCGAUUGAAUGAGCCGAUGUCGGAUUAGCUAGUUGGCGGGGUAAAGGCCCACCAAGGCGACGAUCCGUAGCUGGUUUGAGAGGAUGAUCAGCCACAUCUGGACUGAGACACGGCCCAAACUCCUACGGGAGGCAGCAGUGGGGAAUCUUUGACAAUGGGCGGAAGCCUGAUCCAGCCACGCCGCGUGGGUGAAGAAGGUCUUCGGAUUGUAAAACCCUUUUUUUUGGGAAGAAAGUGCGUGAGUUUAACCCCUCACGUUUCGACGGUAUCCAAACAAAAAGCCCCUGCUAACUUCGUG